rnacentral:lncRNA from 1 species
UUCUUUCUUAUUUCUCCUUUCUCCUUUCUCCUUUCUUCUCUCUCCUUCUUCCUCUCUUCUUCUUUCUAUUCUUUUUCCUCUGUUUUUUGUCGAAAAGAACACAAACAGAGGUCUGUUUUUGUGCUUUUAACAAAACAGACGAGAGGCUUCUGAAGUCACGAUUAGGGCUCGUCUGCCAUCUCUUCUUCAUCGUCUUCUUCAUCUCUUCUUCAGUGAACAGACCAGGUAUGCUUCUUCUUUCUUAUUUCUCCUUUCUCCUUUCUCCUUUCUUCUCUCUCCUUCUUCCUCUCUUCUUCUUUCUAUUCUUUUUCCUCUGUUUUUUGUCGAAAAGAACACAAAUAGAGGUCUGUUUUUGUGCUUUUUUUUGGAGCAAAAACAAAGGUUUUCUUUUCUCUUAAAAUAAAUAAAUUCUGGCUCUGUAUUUCUGCCUCCCAUUUCUUAUUUCUGCUUCUUUAUUCUUCGCUUCUUCUGCCUCACCCCAGUUUUUUUUCUUCUAUUUUUUGAAUUUUGACAGAGGUUCCAGUGGCUCUGUAUUUCUGCUGCUUUCUAUUUUUUUCCCCUGUUUUUUUGUUUUAUUUUUGUCAAGGAAAAACUGGGCAGUGUACUGUUUUUUUCCCUAACUCAAAAAGCAGACUUUUUGUUGCUCUAUUUAUUUUUGUCUUCAUUAUAUAGUAGAAUUAAUUGCGUAGUGACUUGAUAAUUUUUGUCUACAAUUUUAAUUUUAAUUUUAAUUUUUAAAUUGAUAUAUUUAUUAACAUGUUUUUUUUAAUUUAUUUUUGUCAAGGAAAAACUGGCCAGUGUACUAUUUUUUUCCCUAACUCAAAAAGCAGAUUUUUUGUUGCUCUAUUUAUUUUUGUCUUCUUUAUAUAGUAGAAUUAAUUGCGUAGUGACUUG